rnacentral:rRNA from 1 species
UACGGGGGGGGCAAGCGUUGUUCGGAAUUACUGGGCGUAAAGGGCUCGUAGGCGGCCAACUAAGUCAGACGUGAAAUCCCCAGGCUCAACCUGGGAACUGCGUCUGAUACUGGAUGGCUUGAAUCCGGGAGAGGGAUGCAGAAUUCCAGGUGUAGCGGUGAAAUGCGUAGAUAUCUGGAGGAAUACCGGUGGCGAAGGCGGCAUCCUGGACAGUUACUGACGCUCAGGCACGAAAGCGUGGGGAGCAAAAGGG